UACGUAGGGGGCUAGCGUUGUCCGGAAUCAUUGGGCGUAAAGAGCGUGUAGGCGGCCCGGUAAGUCCGCUGUGAAAGUCGGGGGCUCAACCCUCGAAUGCCGGUGGAUACUGUCGGGCUAGAGUGCGGAAGAGGCGAGUGGAAUUCCUGGUGUAGCGGUGAAAUGCGCAGAUAUCAGGAGGAACACCAAUUGCGAGGGCAGCUCGCUGGGACGUAACUGACGCUGAGACGCGAAAGCGUGGGGAGCAAACAGG
rnacentral:rRNA from 1 species